AGCUUUGCGCAGUGGCAGUAUCGUAGCCAAUGAGGUUUAUCCGAGGCGCGAUUACUGCCAAUUUAAAACGUUUCCCAAUACCCUGCCAAGAUGACUUGAAAUAUGGUCAGCAUUGGCAAUUUUUGACAGUCUCUACGGAGA
rnacentral:snRNA from 1 species